rnacentral:rRNA from 1 species
GACGAACGCUGGCGGCGUGCUUAACACAUGCAAGUCGAGCGGAAAGGCCCUUCGGGGUACUCGAGCGGCGAACGGGUGAGUAACACGUGAGUAAUCUGCCCUUGGCUUUGGGAUAACUACCGGAAACGGUGGCUAAUACCGGAUACGACGCACUCAGGCAUCUGAUGUGUGUGGAAAGUUUUUCGGUCCAGGGAUGUGCUCGCGGCCUAUCAGCUUGUUGGUGGGGUAAUGGCCUACCAAGGCUUUGACGGGUAGCCGGCCUGAGAGGGUGACCGGCCACACUGGGACUGAGACACGGCCCAGACUCCUACGGAAGGCAGCAGUGGGGAAUAUUGGACAAUGGGCGGAAGCCUGAUCCAGCAACGCCGCGUGAGGGAUGACGGCC